CAACAAACUUACCCUACAUAUGGAUCUUCCACUGCUGCUGAUGGAUAUAAUCAUCCACAAGGUGCCCCAGCUUCUGCUCCUGGGUAUCCUCAGCAAAGUGCCCAGCCUGUUCCUGGAUAUGGUCAGCCUGUGCCACAACAACCUCUUGCUUAUGCUCAAGCAGCCCCUGUUGGAGGUUACAGUUCCUACCCUUCACAGCCCACUUACACUGAACAGCAGGCCACAAACAAUGCAGGUUAUGGUUAUCAGGGACCAGUUGAUCAAACUUACAGUGGUGCUCAGGCUUCAACAACUUAUAGUGCACCAUUUUCUGGACAGCAAGCUUAUGCUCAACCAGCUCCAGUCCCUUCUUAAGUCCCAGCUCAGCCUGGUUAUGAUCAAUCCAUGACUCAACCAGGUGGUGGUUAUGCGCCUGUACCUGCUGCUGGUGGUUAUGUUAAGAGUGUUUCACCCCAG
rnacentral:lncRNA from 1 species